CUUGGCUAUGCGCUUUGGCAGUGUGGUUAGCUGGUUGUGUACUUAAAAUCACAGCCACUAUCUUCACUGCCGCGGCGAAAAGCUCCUC
rnacentral:pre_miRNA from 1 species